GACGAACGUUGGCGGCGUGCUUAAUACAUGCAAGUCAACUGAAGCAGAGGUAGUAAUAUCUCUGUGGAGGUGGCGCACGGGUGAGUAACACGUAGGUAAUCUGCCUUCAGGUCUGACAUAACCCCGAGAAAUCGGGGCUAAUAGCAGAUGAUGCAGCGGCUUGACAUCAAGACAGUUGUUAAAGCUUCGGCGCCUGAAGAUGAGCCUGCGUCUGAUUAGCUAGUUGGCGGAGUAACAGCCCACCAAGGCUACGAUCAGUAGCUGGUCUGAGAGGAUGAUCAGCCACACUGGAACUGAGACACGGUCCAGA
rnacentral:rRNA from 1 species